rnacentral:rRNA from 1 species
CCUACGGGAGGCAGCAGUGAGGAAUAUUGGUCAAUGGACGAGAGUCUGAACCAGCCAAGUAGCGUGAAGGAUGACUGCCCUAUGGGUUGUAAACUUCUUUUAUAUGGGAAUAAAAUGUUCCACGUGUGGGAUUUUGUAUGUACCAUAUGAAUAAGGAUCGGCUAACUCCGUGCCAGCAGCCGCGGUAAUACGGAGGAUCCGAGCGUUAUCCGGAUUUAUUGGGUUUAAAGGGAGCGUAGGUGGAUUGUUAAGUCAGUUGUGAAAGUUUGCGGCUCAACCGUAAAAUUGCAGUUGAAACUGGCAGUCUUGUGUACAGUAGAGGUGGGCGGAAUUCGUGGUGUAGCGGUGAAAUGCUUAGAUAUCACGAAGAACUCCGAUUGCGCAGGCAGUUCACUGGACUGCAACUGACACUGAGGCUCGAACGUGUGGGUAUCAAACAGGAUUAGAUACCCGGGUAGUC